rnacentral:rRNA from 1 species
UACGUAGGGUGCAAGCGUUUGUCCGGAAUUAUUGGGCGUAAAGAGCUCGUAGGCGGUCUGUCACGUCGGCUGUGAAAACCCGAGGCUCAACCUCGGGCCUGCAGUCGAUACGGGCAAACUAGAGUACUGCAGGGGAGACUGGAAUUCCUGGUGUAGCGGUGAAAUGCGCAGAUAUCAGGAGGAACACCGGUGGCGAAGGCGGGUCUCUGGGCAGUAACUGACGCUGGAGGAGCGAAAGCCGUGGGGAGCGAACAGG